rnacentral:rRNA from 1 species
CACGUAGGCACCAAGCGUUGUCCGGAUUUAUUGGGCGUAAAGAGCUCGUAGGCGGUUCGGUAAGUCGGGUGUGAAAACUCUGGGCUCAACCCAGAGCCGCCACUCGAUACUGCUGUGACUCGAGUGCGGUAGGGGAGCGGGGAAUUCCUGGUGUAGCGGUGAAAUGCGUAGAGAUCAGGAAGAACACCGGUGGCGAAAGCGCUCUGCUGGACCUUAACUGACACUGAGGGACGAAAGCUAGGGGAGCGAAUGGG